rnacentral:rRNA from 1 species
AGUGGCGGACGGGUGAGUAACGCGUGGGAAUCUACCAAGCGGCGGGGAAUAACAGUUGGAAACGACUGCUAAUACCGCAUACGCCCUUCGGGGGAAAGGCUUCGGCCACCGCUUGAGGAUCCCGCGUCCGAUUAGCUUGUUGGUGGGGUAACGGCCUACCAAGGCGACGAUCAGUAGCUGGUCUGAGAGGAUGAUCAGCCACACUGGGACUGAGACACGGCCCAGACUCC